CCUGUGUCGCUCCCCCUCUUCGUGGAGGAGCAACACUGAACCCUGCGCUGUUCUUUUCGUCUGCUCGGCCCUCCCCGGGUUUGCUGCUGGUUCUUCCCGGGUUGGCUACUGUCCCUUCCACCUCCGUGGAAGGGCGGUUCCCCCUGGCCACAUUCCCCACUUCCGCAGGGGUGCGGCACACCGCUGGCCGGCUUUCUCGGGGGCUGCACAGGUGUUCCUUCAGCUAGAUGUUCCCCUUAGAUGUUCCUGGUGCAUGCCGUCUCUCUCCUCCUUUAUAGUCCUGCUCCGCCAAUCCCAACUCGGCUGCCCACACGCCGAGUACGCUGCUCUCCAAUCAGGAGCAGGUCCUACAGUUUAUUGGUUGAACUGGAGGCAGCUGUGCGGAAGCUGUUUACUUCUCUCCCAGCGCCAUAUUGUGGGAGAGCAGAUGCAUAGAAUAAGUCUUAAUUCCAGUAACUCAGUCUAGUCCGGUUUGCUCCCCACAGCCCUGGAUUCCAAGGUCUGAGCAUCCAGUCUUGUCUAAGAGUCAAGGAUAACUUUCUGGAAGAAGUGACAUUUGUGCUGAUGCCUGAACAUCAAGAAGAAGUAAUUUAUUCUAAGGAGCUGUGCCUGGCAGCUUACUUUUUUUUGGGACAGUGUACAGCAUCUCAUUGGAAGAAAGAACUCCAGUGCUGCCAGGGUUUGCUUAUGAGAAAGCGAGAAUCAGAUUCUCCCUGCCAGGACUGCAAGCUGACCUCAUCUCCCUGCAGUACUUCUUCAUCCAACAGCCAGGCCUGGUUGAGAAUGUCCACUUGGAGCUCGUGUGGUUCUGAGGCCUGACAUCACAGACGAUCUUGCUUUUCAAGUAACUUUGCAAAGAGAAAUCACUAUCAAAUACUUCCUGAUGAUGUGUGAUCGCUUCACCACCCAAAGACCCCAAGAGUAUUCAGAACCAUGCCCAGCGCAGAGGAGAUACUCAUGAAAUAUUCGAUGCGGUUCUAGAGACCUCUACAUGUCUCUGAGAUAAUGAAGACAUCGCCAACAAUUUUCAUGAACGUCCACAUUUUCCCAAUGACUGCUUUGGCCACUCGUUGCCAUAAUAGGGCAAUAAUACGACUGCAGGAAGCAUUGUUUUGAUUCACUCGUUUACCCACUCACUCAGGAAAGCAACACUUCCCGGGACUAUCAAGUCACAGUCACAAUCCUGAGAGAAGCCAAAAGGAUGAAAGCUUGAUUUUACCCUAUAUUCAUGUAGAGGAACAGAUGGAGGAAAAGUAGAAGAGCAAAGUCAUCUGUCAGUACCCCUCAGACCUGGAACCAAAGAUAUCAACUCCCACCACUCUUAUUUCAUGAAGUAUUGGAAGCCUCAUCAAGAGCAGUCAGAAAAAGAGAAAGGCAGCAGGAGUCAGACAUAGGGCUGUCACUCAGAGGGGGGCAGGACAAAGAAGGGCUGUCACUCUCCGGGAUCAGGACAAAGUAGGGUGGUCACUCCCAGAGGGGUGGAACAAAGCAGUACUGUCAAUCCCAGGUGUUGGGAAAAAGCAGGGCUGCCAAGCCCAGAGGGGCGGGACAAAGCAAGACUGCCACAGCCAUAGGGCCAGGACAAAGCAGGGCUGUCACUCUGAGAGGGGCUGGACAAAGCAGGGCUGUCACUACCAGGGGUGGGACAAAGCAGUGCUGACACUUCCAGAGGGGUGGAAUGAAGCAGUCCUGUAAAUCCCAGGCAUGGGGAAAAGCGGGGCUGCCAAGCCCAGGGGGGCGGUACAAAGUAGGGCUGCAAGAGUCCAGAGGGGCAGGACAAAGCAAGACUGCCACAGCCAUAGGGCCCAAACAAAGCAGGGCUGUCACUCCCAGGUGGCAGGACAAAGCAGGGUUGUAACUCCCAGGGGGCGGUACAAAGCUGGGCUGUCACUCCUAGAGGGCCAGGACAAAGUAGGGCUCUCACUCCCAAAGGGGCGGCAUAAAGCAGCAAUGUCAUUCCCAGGGGUCAGGACAAAGCAGGGCUGUCACACCAAGAGGGGCAUAACAAAGUAUUACUGUCAAUCCCAGGGGGUGGUACAAAGCAGGGCUGUCACUCCCUGAGGGGCAGGACAAAGCAGGGCUGUCACUCUCAGGGAGCAGGACAAGGCAGGGCUGUCAGUCCCAGGGGGCAGGGCAAAGCAGGGUUGUCACACCAAGAGGGGCGGGACAAAGCAGGGCUAUCACACCAAGAGGGGCAGGACAAAGCAAGGCUGUCACUCCCUGAGGGGUUGGACAAAGCAGGGCUGCCAAUAUCAGGAAGCAGGACAAAGCAGGGCUGUCAUUCCCAGGGGUCAGUACAAAGCAGGGAUGUCACUCCCACAGGGGUGGGAUAAAGCAAGGCUGUCACAUCCAGGGGCUGGGAAAAAGCAAGCCUGUCACUUCUGGAGGGGCAGGACAAAGCAGGCUGCCAUGCCCAGAGGGGCAGGACAAAGCAAGUCUUCCACAGCCAUAGGACUGGGACAAAGCAGGGCUGUCAGUCCCAGGGGGUGGUACAAAGCAGGGAUGCCACACCCAGAGGGGCAGGACAAAGCAAGACUGCCACUGCCAGAGGGCCUGGACAAACCAGGUCUGUCACUCUGACAGGGGCGGGACAAAGCAAGGCUGUCAGUCCCUGGUAUGUGUAACUGCUCCAGUCUGUAAAGAUGGAAGAAUUUAACAGCCAGAUUUAUCUAAAUCUUAGGGGAGUAUAGUUAACAUUAAAAAAGAAGAAGAAGAAAAAGCAGAGCCAGGGCCAUGGCAUAGUAAGCUAAUCUUCUACCUGCAGCACCAGCAUCCCAAUAUGUGUGCAGUUCAUAUCCCAGCUGCUGCACUUCUAAUCCAGUCUCUGUUAUGGCAUGUGUAAGCAGUGGAAGAUGGUCCAAGUGCUUGGACCUCUGCACCCAUAUGAAGACCAAGAAGAAGCUCCUGGAUCCUGCCUUUGGAUCAGCUAAGCUCCAGACAUUGUGGCCACUGGGGAAUGAACAAGGAGACAGAAGACAUUUCUCUCUGUCUCUCCCUCUGUCUAUAAGUCUGCCUCUCAAGUAAAUAAAUAAAAUCUUAAGUAAGAUUUGUUACUCUCCUCCUAUUGAAUCCACUCUCACCUUUUGUAACACUGGAUAGCAAUCUUUAGUAAUAUUCAUGAAGCACCUGACUCUCCCGUGUCUUUGGUCCCCUCUUCUUAACCAUAGUACUCAUUACUGAAGCUCAGGGCCCUAAUAUCAGUACCUGAUAUAUUAUUACAGCUCUGAGUCACCCAAAUCAUUCAAAACAACAUGCAACACUGACCUUCAUCUGUAGAUGGAGCUCUGAAGGUCAAAAGAGAGAAGGGAGAAAAACCUGUGGACACAUUUUGGGUGGCAAUGGUUCACAUUAAAGCUCAGGGGAAAUGUCUAAGACUCUCCUCAGCCCUAUUACCAAUCACUCACCACUGGCUUUCCUAUCUUGAUCUGAUAACCUCUUCACAGCUGUGGGCAGCCACAGGCAGUCACUCCCUUUGUUUACACUUAACCAUAUGGAUGGAGACUUCCUGGCACAGACAAUUAGACUAAGGAGAUUCUGGGAAGAGGCAGGAAGAACCUUAUCUCACUGCUAAGCCUCUUACAAGAGAUGAUAUAGAUAAUCAGUCACACCUGAAACCUGCAUUUAUCACCUAAGUGUAAUCAAUAAUUAAGAACCUUAUCUGGAACUCUUUGUAACCUUAAAAGCCUUUUUGAUAUGUAAAUCUUUUGUGCUCCUUCUUGUAAACAACUGGUCAUGUUUAAAUACUACUGGAUUUGUUGAAUAAACAAACAAAAAAAGCCUUGUUCAGGACUUGUCUUGGCUCCAUUCUUUG